AUGCUGCCGGCUGGCGUCAAGUUUGAUCCCACGGAUCAGGAGCUGAUCGAGCACCUUGAGGCUAAAGUGAGUGCUGACAGCGCGAGAUCUCACCCUCUCAUCGAUUUGUUCAUACCAACCAUCGACAGCGAGCGCGACAUAUGCUACACCCAUCCUGAGAAACUUCCAGGUAUCACACUGAGUGGCCUAAGCAAGCAUUUCUUCCAGCGCAAUUCCAGGGUGUUCAAAAGGGGCACCUGGACAUGUCGCAAGAUACAGUCGGAGUGCGGCAUGCACGUGAUGUGGCACAAGACCGGCAAUACCUUGCCGGUGAUGGUCAAUGGCCGGCAAACGGGCAGCAAAAAGGUUCUGAUGCUGCAAACCAACAAGAACUUCGACCAUUCCCACAAAAAAAAGAACUUCGACCAGCAGAGGACCAACUGGGUGAUGCACCAGUACCACCUCGGGGACCUGGAGCAAGAGAAGGAGCGGGAGCUGGUCUUCUGCAAGAUUUUCUACCAGACGAACACUAGGGCCAGGACUAAAAAGAUUAUAAGUUAG
rnacentral:rRNA from 1 species